rnacentral:rRNA from 1 species
CCCUUAGAUGUUCUGGGCAGCACGCGCGCUACAAUGAUCUUCGCAAACGGAUGCAUUCUCGAAGGAGGAUGCCAAUCUUGGAAUCUAUGCCUUGGUUGGGACAGUUGCUUGCAAUUUUUCGACUCGAACCAGGAAUUCCUUGUAAUCGUGAUUCAUCACAUCACGAUGAAUACGUCCCUGCCCUUUGUACACACCGCCCGUCGCUCCUACCGAUCGAAGAGUUAGGUGAAUUGUUUUGAUCGAUAAGAUUUGACUAUGGUCAACUCUCGUUGUGAAAUUCUGUGAAUCUGACUGUUUAGAGGAAGGAAAAGUCGUAACA